GGCGGCGUACCCAAGUGGUUUAAGGGGACGGAUUGCAAAUCCGUUAGUCAAGGGUUCGAAUCCCUUCGCCGCCU
rnacentral:tRNA from 1 species